UCUGAUUAUCAAGAAGCUUUAUUGUCUUCAUCAGAUUGAACAUCAUCAUCUUCCUCUUCAUCAUCGUCACCAUCAUCAUCCUCCUCAUUAUAGUCAUCAUUCUCAAUAUCCUCAUCAUCUUCAUCAUCACCAUCAUCCUCCUUACCACCACCACUACCAUCAUCACCAUCUUCAUCAUCAACACCUGUGUGCUGGACGUCAGGAGGCUGUUAACAUGCAGCUGAGCCGGGCAGACAGACAGGAAGACAGACGGAUAACGGAGGAAACAGACAGACAGACAGAGGUAGGUCAGACAGAACGGACGCCAAAGGGGGGCAGAGAGGUAGACAGCUGGGCAGGUAGUCAAGUAGGGGAACAGACAGGUGGUCGUCAGGCAGAGACAGGCAGGUAGAUAUGAGGACUGUCUCAGGUAGUCACAGACAGACAGGUGGUCGUCAGGCAGAGACAGGCAGGUAGAUAUGAGGACUGUCUCAGGUAGUCACAGACAGACAGGUGGUCGUCAGGCAGAGACAGGCAGGUAGAUAUGAGGACUGUCUCAGGUAGUGGCAGACAGACAGGUGGUCGUCAGGCAGAGACAGGCAGGUAGAUAUGAGGACUGUCUCAGGUAGUCGCAGACAGACAGGUGGUCGUCAGGCAGAGACAGGCAGGUAGAUAUGAGGACUGUCUCAGGUAGUCGCAGACAGACAGGUGGUCGUCAGGCAGAGACAGGCAGGUAGAUAUGAGGACUGUCUCAGGUAGUCGCAGACAGACAGG
ensembl:lncRNA